rnacentral:misc_RNA from 1 species
GUUUCAGUCAACACUGUUGGCAUUUGGUUUUGGUCGAUCAUAGUUGGAGUAGACAUGCUUUCCCUUUUGUUGCUUUCAAAACUGAUUAUUGGAUUUAUGGAAAGGUGGGGCUCCACAGUCAUGGCAUAUAUGAGUUAGCUAGGAGAGAAGGUGGCGGUGCUAAUUGGCGGUGGGUUCAGAUGCAAUAACAUUGCUGUUGGGAGUAGUGGUUGAUCAUUGAUAUGUUCUUUUUGUGGAGUGGUGGUAGUGUGCAGUGUGAAAGAG